AGCGGCGGACGGGUGAGUAAUGCUUAGGAAUCUGCCUAUUAGUGGGGGACAACAUUCCGAAAGGAAUGCUAAUACCGCAUACGUCCUACGGGAGAAAGCAGGGGAUCCUCGGACCUUGCGCUAAUAGAUGAGCCUAAGUCGGAUUAGCUAGUUGGUGGGGUAAAGGCCUACCAAGGCGACGAUCUGUAGCGGGUCUGAGAGGAUGAUCCGCCACACUGGGACUGAGACACGGCCCAGACUCCUACGGGAGGCAGCAGUGGGGAAUAUUGGACAAUGGGCGGAAGCCUGAUCCAGCCAUGCCGCGUGUGUGAAGAAGGCCUUUUGGUUGUAAAGCACUUUAAGCGAGGAGGAGGCUACCUAGAUUAAUACUCUGGGAUAGUGGACGUUACUCGCAGAAUAAGCACCGGCUAACUCUGUGCCAGCAGCCGCGGUAAUACAGAGGGUGCGAGCGUUAAUCGGAUUUACUGGGCGUAAAGCGUGCGUAGGCGGCUGAUUAAGUCGGAUGUGAAAUCCCUGAGCUUAACUUAGGAAUUGCAUUCGAUACUGGUCAGCUAGAGUAUGGGAGAGGAUGGUAGAAUUCCAGGUGUAGCGGUGAAAUGCGUAGAGAUCUGGAGGAAUACCGAUGGCGAAGGCAGCCAUCUGGCCUAAUACUGACGCUGAGGUACGAAAGCAUGGGGAGCAAACAGGAUUAGAUACCCUGGUAGUCCAUGCCGUAAACGAUGUCUACUAGC
rnacentral:rRNA from 1 species